rnacentral:piRNA from 1 species
UGGAAUGCCUAUGCUCAGAAGCCUACCAGU